rnacentral:misc_RNA from 1 species
AAAGUCGUAACAAGGUUUCCGUAGGUGAACCUGCGGAAGGAUCAUUAGACAUAUCUGGGAUGCCAUUCUGGGUCCCCGACUCCAAACCCCUCUGUGUACCAAUCCAUGUUGCUUCCACAGUUUAAGAGUUCCUCUGUGGGUGGUAUUUGCCAUCGUUGCCUGCUCUGGUUGUUGACCGUGUCCGUUGUUGCCGUCUGCUUGAAGUGGAUGAGUGCAGCAGCCCAGACUGCUAUACCGUGCAGGUAUCGCCAGCUAUAACCGCCCAUAUUCAGCCUCCACACUGGUGGAGCUAUUGAGGCAUCUGUGAAAGGGUCCAAAUCCAACCAUGUCUGUGAACCAGCUGUCUGACCUGGCCAUGUGCCGGAUUCAAUAAACAAGUUAAAACUUUCAACAACGGAUCUCUUGGCUCUC